GGGUCCUAGCUCUCUUUACGUCAUCCCAAGAGCAGCGCAUAGGUUAGGUCGAGCCUUAGGGGUUCGUUGGCUCCUGUACUCGUUGGAACCGGUUAGGGAGAGGACGAGGGCGGGACUAAGAUCGACGGCGCCGAUUGGAGCUCUUCUCCUGUGACAGCUGAACUUCUUCCUGUGGAAUCAGAGCCUAGAACUUGUGUACCUAGGAAGUUUUGACCUGCCUGGUUCCUCUCAUUUGGAGCGAACCUCUUUUCUUGGAUUAGCCUGGGUGUGAGUUGUCACAUUGCAAUGCCCUACCUGGAUUACUCUGGCCUCACUGGCACCAGGGAGGAAUUGUGGAAAGGCACUGGAAGACUAUUAGCACUUGAGUGAUUUAGCCUGUGUCCUCACUGCAAAGUGGAUGGGCUAUCAGCCCAAGUGACCGUGGAACCUACAUUCUAACUCCUUUGCUCAGCUGACUUGAAAGUACCACUAAACUUAGGAUAAAAUUGCAAAGAUGGGAUGUCAUGCAUUUGUGUGAGGAAACACCUAACCAGAGUGGGUAAGCUAAGGACAGUGUGUUAAUUGUGAAUUUAUUUAUCUUGGUAUCAAAAGAACAAAAUCCACAUUGCAGAUUAUGGACAGCUAAAUGAAAUUUUGUGAAGCACAGCUGGUUUUUGCAGUGUUUGAAAAUGCAUCCAAGUCAAGACCUACAAAUAUUUGCUGGGAAGAUAUGGUAGGGUUUCCAUUAUUAGCAAAAUAGCUGCGAGAAGAACAUUUUUGAAAAAAGGGAGCAGGAAUGAAAAAAAUAAGAGUGCUGGACUGAGACUUUGUUGUACCUUGUAUUGAAUAUUUACAGCCAAAUUAUAUUGUGUUACUAUAACAAAACUUAGAGUAGUAUUUUCACCAUAUGCUCCAGUUAGUGUUUUCCUGUAACUGAAAGCAAUGGAGAUAAGUCUUCUCUGGUAUUCUUCUGUGAAUAUACAUGGCCUUAGGAUGAACAUAACAACAUGUAACAAAAUGUCAAGGAAAACAACAGAUAGGCAAAUGAUCAUUGAAAUAGUAACCUCAAAAUCCUGCACUGUAAUAUCAAUGCAUCAAGUAAUGUUUCACUUUGGAGGCUCUGAGGGUGAGAAUAUAUAAAAUUUAUCCUGGACACCAUAUGCAAAUUUGGAGGUUUGCCUACAUAUUUGUGUGGAGUGAUGUUUGAAAAUACACCCCUUACCUUCUGUCAGCUUCAUAAAGCAAAGUAAUUUAUCAUCCUUUAUUGUUUAAUACAAAAUUUAAUUGUGACACUUUUGCAUUCAAUUGGUUUCCAAACAAAAAUAAAGGAGAAAAGUCUUAUUUUGCUUGCAUGUGACAUUUUUUUUUUUAUAAAAAAAAAAAACACCAACCAAUAACUAUUUUACUCUGUACAUAAAAAUGAAGCCAUUUACUAGAAGGACCUUGUAGCCUGUUUUGACAAAAUAUAAUGGCACAUUCAAAGACUGAAUUGCUACAAAUAGUAAUGGGUAUGUAAACAAAUCUUCCAAGGUUUUACAGUACUCAGGCUUAUCAAUUCUAAUCCUGUAACACCUAGAUUAUUCUUAAAAUACAAUGUUUAUUUUUGGACCUUGUUUACAGUUUUAAAUCUUUUAAUAAAACGGUAUCUUACAUAAACACUGUUAACCUACAAAAUAUAAGGCAGAGGACUAAUAAAAAGGAACCCGUCAGAUCAACUGGAUCACUCACAAAGGCCUGAUUAAACAUAUUUUCAUUGUAACAAUUUAACUAUUUCAGAUAAGGAUGUGGGUUAUUUUAACUAUAAUAGCUAAAUUAUACAGGAAUAAGAUAUACCGGUAUCUGCACCUGUAUAUGCUAAAAAAGAAAAGGAGUACUUGUGGCACCUUAGAGACUGACAACAUUUAUUUGAGUAUAAGCUUUCGUGAGCUACAGCUCACUUCAUCGGAUGCAU